rnacentral:rRNA from 1 species
UGGGGAAUCUUCCGCAAUGGACGAAAGUCUGACGGAGCAACGCCGCGUGAGUGAAGAAGGUUUUCGGAUCGUAAAACUCUGUCUUUUGGGGCGAACGUGAGUAUGGUGAACAAUCAUAGUCAGUGACGGUACCAAAGGAGGAAGCCACGGCUAACUACGUGCCAGCAGCCGCGGUAAUACGUAGGUGGCAAGCGUUGUCCGGAAUUAUUGGGCGUAAAGAGCGCGUAGGCGGGAUAGUCAGUCUGUUGUAAAGUGCGGGGCUCAACCCCGUGAUCGCAAUGGAAACAGCUAUUCUUGAGUGCAGGAGAGGAAAGUGGAAUUCCCAGUGUAGCGGUGAAAUGCGUAGAUAUUGGGAGGAACACCAGUGGCGAAGGCGACUUUCUGGACUGUGUCUGACGCUGAGGCGCGAAAGCCAGGGGAGCGAACGGGAUUAGAUACCCCGGUAGUCCUGGCCGUAAACGAUGGGUACUAGGUGUGGGAGGUAUCGACCCCUUCCGUGCCGGAGUUAACGCAAUAAGUACCCCGCCUGGGGAGUACGGUCGCAGACUGAAACUUAAUGAAUUGACGGGGUCAUAGCUGUUUCCUG